rnacentral:antisense_RNA from 1 species
GGUAGUGGGUGACGACCGUUGGUCGUCACGGCUCUCCAGCGCCAAGAGCGUGACCACCAACGGUCGUCACCCACCGGC